CAAAAGCCCUUUGUGGAUCCUGUGACCCAGGCUGCAGCUACACUGCUAAGGCCUUUAUCAUUUGACCCACUUUUCCAAGUCAUUUGGAAAGAAACCACAUGGUCAACCGUAAAAGAGGACGUGCUGGAAUGAAGAGAUGAUGGCCCUGAUUCCGGGCCUCAUCUGUAAUUGUAUGGCUGGAGGUUCAUUCCACAUCGUCCCAAGUGACAGAAUUUCCUUCAUCUUAAAACCGGACUGAUCUCUGAGCCCUCGAACACCACACAAUGAGAUCGGCCUCCUGGAUGGAGUUGCGCAGCCCGCCGAGCCGGGCCGCUUCAGGGGGAGGCGCCAAGUCUCGGCUGUUCCCGGCCCCGGCCGAGCAGUCCCCGCGGCCCGUAGCCGAGCGGACGCGGCGCGGAGGUAAAGAUUUAACCCGGAUUGUAACAAAAGACACAAAGGAAAGACGCUUUUUCUAGCACACCCGGCCGUUGCCCUGGCUGCCCCAACUGCGCUCGGUCUCAUCGGACCACUAGACGAGACAGUAGUGAAAAACAGAUUUACUCAAUGUGGCCGCGUUGGGAAUUUCCUGACUUGAAGUUUAGGUUGAAAUAGUGGCCAAGAGAUAAGCAUAAGAGGGCCUGGUCCAGGUGUGGUCCGGCCGGUCGUUGACUCAUCCUGUCUUGGCUCCAGUCACAGUUCCUUGGAAUCCAAAGCCUGAUAGCUGAAGGAAACGACACAAGUGGCUCUCUUUAGAAUUUCUUCCAUCCUGCCUAAACCGCUACUUGGUGACUUAAUCCCUGUCGGAGCCGAAUAAAAGUGAUCGAGUUCACAAACAGUCCUGUGGAACUUGCUUUUUUGUGUAUGUCCUGUGAUAGUCGACUGUUUAACGGAUAUUGGGUUUCUCUGUGUUUGCGCCUUCUCAGUAAAGUCUGUCAAAUUACUGGCAAUGGCAUGUGGGUAAGUCAGUUUCAAGAGGUCAGGAACUACGAUGGAGACAGUCUAACAAUGCCAUUACUUCUGUGCUUUGUAGUAACUGUUUGGAGAUUCAGAAUGCUUUGGAUGAAAUGUGACAUCCUUGUUUCCCAUUGAUAGCUGCUCCAUACAUUUUACCAAGUAGCAGGGCCACCAGAAUGACACUUAUCUUAAAUACAACACUCCCACCCUGCAGGCCUUGUUGCUGUUUGGGGGCUUCCUGAGUGGACCACCAUUCCAGAGCCUGUGCAUUUGUCCCAUGGUCACAUGGAAGUGGACUUUACAUCUUGAAACAAUGGCAUCACUUCAAAGGGAGAACUUACCCAUCCAAAAUAGCCCCAGCUCUGAUUCUCCAGCCUCUUGUCCAAUCCUUGGCUUGGUAGCACUUGAUGGCUAUCUGAUAUUAUACAAAUCUAUGGUUCUCUUGUGUCUGCCCCACAAUUAUUACCUAUAAGGUAUUAACUAUGUAAGUGAAAGCUAGAUUGAAUUUAACUUUCUCUAGGGAUACUUAGACUCC
rnacentral:lncRNA from 1 species